UUUUGAGGCAGAAAGAAAGGAAAUAUUAGUUUUGUUUGGUCCUUUUAUCAGGAAAGCAGCAUGCCAGCAAGCUACCCAUGAGAUUUCAUUGUUCUGAACUAGGUGUCAUCAUCACUCUAUAAGCAGAAAAAAUAAAAUCCUACCUGGAAAAAAAAUUGACAACACUUCCUUAUCUGGAUUUCUUUUCCUAGUAGCUCAAGAGAGAAGCCACAGAUUUUGCUAACACUGAAGUGAUAUCCAGUGGGUAGAAGAGAGAGAGCAGAUUGUCUGCAAAGAAACACAUAGUGACUUUACUAUACUAUUGCUGCUGGAACCAGAGAACGAAAGGACUGUAACUCUGCCUCUAAUGCUGACUAUCAAGUAAUAGAGAAGUGUGCACCGUUGGUAUCCAAAGAAAAGCUGAUUUCACAUUCUGGAGCUAAAGAAGAAAUAAAUAUAUUGAAUCUGAGAUGUGCUUUUUGAAGAAAGCAAGAACGCUCCCAGAUAUUACUUGAAACUUCUAAAGAGCACAAAUAAGCUGUCUGGAGGAGAGUUCUGCUAGUGGACAAAAUAUGAACGAUUCAUGCAUCAAAAAGCUAAGCAACAAUUACAUUUGAUAAGAAUAAAUGGAGUUUAUUUUUUUUAAAAACUGUAGUCUUGAAAAAAUCAUGAAAAUAUAAUGAUGCAAGAAAAAGUUAUAUAUUACAAAUUAUAAUUAAAAAGU
rnacentral:lncRNA from 9 species